rnacentral:rRNA from 1 species
ACGGGAGGCAGCAGUGGGGAAUAUUGGGCAAUGGGCGAAAGCCUGACCCAGCAACGCCGCGUGAAGGAAGAAGGUCUUCGGAUUGUAAACUUCUUUUAUGAGGGACGAAGGAAGUGACGGUACCUCAUGAAUAAGCCACGGCUAACUACGUGCCAGCAGCCGCGGUAAUACGUAGGUGGCAAGCGUUAUCCGGAUUUACUGGGUGUAAAGGGAGCGUAGACGGUCUGGCAAGUCUGAUGUGAAAGGCAGGGGCUCAACUCCUGGACUGCAUUGGAAACUGUCGGACUGGAGUGCCGGAGAGGUAAGCGGAAUUCCUAGUGCAGCGGUGAAAUGCGUAGAUAUUAGGAGGAACACCAGUGGCGAAGGCGGCUUACUGGACGGUAACUGACGUUGAGGCUCGAAAGCGUGGGGAGCAAACAGGAUUAGAUACCCUGGUA